rnacentral:rRNA from 1 species
GACGAACGCUGGCGGCGUGCCUAAUACAUGCCAGUUGAGCGAUGAAGAUUGGUGCUUGCACCAAUUUGAAGAGCAGCGCACGGGUGAGUAACGCGUGGGGAAUCUGCCUUUGAGCGGGGGACGACAUUUGGAAACGAAUGCUAAUACCGCAUAACAACUUUAAACAUAAGUUUUAAGUUUGAAAGAUGCAAUUGCAUCACUCAAAGAUGAUCCCGCGUUGUAUUAGCUAGUUGGUGAGGUAAAGGCUCACCAAGGCGAUGAUACAUAGCCGACCUGAGAGGGUGAGCGGCCACAUUGGGACUGAGACACGGCCCAAACUCCUACGGGAGGCAGCAGUAGGGAAUCUUGGGCAAGGGACGAAAGUCUGACCGAGCAACGCCGCGGGAGUGAAGAAGGGUGUCGGAUCGUAAAACUCUGUUGGUAGAGAAGAACGUGGGUGAGAGUGGAAAGCUCAUCAAGUGACGGUAACUACCCAGAAAGGGACGGCUAACUACGUG